rnacentral:rRNA from 1 species
UACGUAGGUGGCAAGCGUUGUCCGGAAUUAUUGGGCGUAAAGCGCGCGCAGGCGGUCCUUUAAGUCUGAUGUGAAAGCCCACGGCUCAACCGUGGAGGGUCAUUGGAAACUGGGGGACUUGAGUACAGAAGAGGAAAGCGGAAUUCCACGUGUAGCGGUGAAAAUGCGUAGAGAUGUGGAGGAACACCAGUGGCGAAGGCGGCUUUCUGGUCUGUAACUGACGCUGAGGCGCGAAAGCGUGGGGAGCAAACAGG